UACGUAGGUGGCAAGCGUUGUCCGGAUUUACUGGGCGUAAAGAGCGCGCAGGCGGUCGUGCAAGUCGCGUGUGAAAGCCCCCGGCUCAACUGGGGAGGGUCACGCGAUACUGCUCGACUUGAAGGCAGGAGAGGGAAGUGGAAUUCCCGGUGUAGUGGUGAAAUGCGUAGAUAUCGGGAGGAACACCAGUGGCGAAGGCGACCUCCUGGCCUGUUCUUGACGCUGAGGCGCGAAAGCUAGGGUAGCAAACGGG
rnacentral:rRNA from 1 species